UGGGGAAUCUUGCGCAAUGGGCGAAAGCCUGACGCAGCGACGCCGCGUGCGGGAAGAAGGCCUUCGGGUUGUAAACCGCUUUCAGGAGGGACGCGGUACCUCCAGAAGAAGCCCCGGCUAACUACGUGCCGGCAGCCGCGGUAAUUCCGGUUACUCUACGG
rnacentral:rRNA from 1 species